CCAACGGGCGAUUGCCUCAGUACGGCGAGUGAGCGGCAAAAGCUCAAAUUUGAAAUCUAGCACCUUCGGUGUUCGAGUUGUAAUUUGAAGAUGGUAACCUUGGGUUUGGCUCUUGUCUAUGUUCCUUGGAACAGGACGUCAUAGAGGGUGAGAAUCCCGUCUGAUGAGAUGCCCAUUCCUAUGUAAGGUGCUAUCGAAGAGUCGAGUUGUUUGGGAAUGCAGCUCUAAGUGGGUGGUAAAUUCCAUCUAAAGCUAAAUAUUGGCGAGAGACCGAUAGCGAACAAGUACAGUGAUGGAAAGAUGAAAAGAACUUUGAAAAGAGAGUGAAAAAGUACGUGAAAUUGUUGAAAGGGAAGGGCAUUAGAUCAGACUUGGUGUUUUACGAUUAUCUUCUCUUCUUGAGUUGUGCACUCGUAUUUCACUGGGCCAGCAUCGAUUCGGAUGGCAAGAUAAUGGCAGUUGAAUGUGGCUUCACUUCGGUGGAGUGUUAUAGCUUCUGCUGAUAUUGCCUGUCUGGAUCGAGGGCUGCGUCUUUUGACUAGGAUGCUGGCGUAAUGAUCUAAUGCCGCCCGUCUUGAACAACAGAACCCA
rnacentral:rRNA from 1 species